rnacentral:misc_RNA from 1 species
AAUUUUUUUCUUGCAAAUGAUUUUUUUCCAAAGGAAGCCAAUAAAGGAGAAGGAAAGGGACCUACUAAUAGAAUAACCUUAUAUAGUGUUUCAACUAUAAAAUGUUUGCAAUAUUUUUUACUUCAAAGAUGAUGAAUGAGAUAUUUUAUGGGUUUAUACAUUCUCAUGCUGUAAUUGACAUUGAUCUUGUCUACCUAUCCAUGACUAAGGGAAAAAUGUCAUAUCAAAAAAUCACUUAAUUUAAAAGCACAAACUUGCAUGUGAGGACCUCAAAAAUAGUUUUAUAUCCCUAAUAAAUAUAAACCAUUCUUUUUAAGGAGUGAAAAUAAAUAUUUUAUAAUUAUUUGUUUAUUUUAGUUAUCUUUGCUCAUUAUUCUUUAUUUUCAUUAUAUAUUUUUUAGGCUUGAAUCAGAAUUAAGUGA